AGUACUCGAGUGGCGAACGGGUGAGUAACACGUGGGUAAUCUGCCCUGCACUCUGGGAUAAGCCUGGGAAACUGGGUCUAAUACUGGAUAUGACCUUUCUCCUUAUGGGGUUUGGUGGAAAGUUUUUCGGUGUAGGAUGAGCCCGCGGCCUAUCAGCUUGUUGGUGGGGUGAUGGCCUACCAAGGCGACGACGGGUAGCCGGCCUGAGAGGGUGAUCGGCCACGUUGGGACUGAGAUACGGCCCAG
rnacentral:rRNA from 1 species